rnacentral:rRNA from 1 species
GACGAACGCUGGCGGCGUGCUUAACACAUGCAAGUCGAACGGAAAGGCCCUGCUUUUGUGGGGUGCUCGAGUGGCGAACGGGUGAGUAACACGUGAGUAACCUGCCCUUGACUGUGGGAUAACUUCAGGAAACUGGGGCUAAUACCGGAUAGGAGCUCCUGCUGCAUGGUGGGGGUUGGAAAGUUUCGGCGGUUGGGGAUGGACUCGCGGCUUAUCAGCUUGUUGGUGGGGGAGUGGCCUACCAAGGCUUUGACGGGUAGCCGGCCUGAGAGGGUGACCGGCCACAUUGGGACUGAGGUAGGGCCCAGACUCGUACAGGGGGCAGCAGUGGGGAAUAUUGCACAAUGGGCGGAAGCCUGAUGCAGCAACGCCGCGUGCGGAAUGCCGGCCUUCGGGUUGUAAACCGCUUUCGCCUGUGACGAAGCGUGAGUGACGGUAAUGGGUAAAGAAGCACCAGCUAACUACGUG